UACGUAGGGUGCGAGCGUUAAUCGGAAUUACUGGGCGUAAAGCGUGCGCAGGCGGUUUUGUAAGCCAGAUGUGAAAGCCCCGGGCUUAACCUGGGAAUGGCAUUUGGGACUGCAAGGCUUGAGUGCGGCAGAGGAGACUGGAAUUCCUGGUGUAGCAGUGAAAUGCGUAGAGAUCGGGAGGAACAUCAGUUGCGAAGGCGGCCACCUGGACCAGCACUGACACUGAGGCACGAAAGCGUGGGGAGCAAACAGG
rnacentral:rRNA from 1 species